rnacentral:rRNA from 1 species
AGAGUUUGGUCAUGGCUCAGAUUGAACGCUGGCGGCAGGCCUAACACAUGCAAGUCGAGCGGAAACGACACUAACRAUCCUUCGGGUGMGUUAAUGGGCGUCGAGCGGCGGACGGGUGAGUAAUGCCUAGGAAAUUGCCUUGAUGUGGGGGAUAACCAUUGGAAACGAUGGCUAAUACCGCAUAAUGCCUACGGGCCAAAGAGGGGGAUCUUCGGACCUCUCGCGUCAAGAUAUGCCUAGGUGGGAUUAGCUAGUUGGUGAGGUAAUGGCUCACCAAGGCGACGAUCCCUAGCUGGUCUGAGAGGAUGAUCAGCCACACUGGAACUGAGACACGGUCCAGACUCCUACGGGAGGCAGCAGUGGGGAAUAUUGCACAAUGGGCGAAAGCCUGAUGCAGCCAUGCCGCGUGUAUGAAGAAGGCCUUCGGGUUGUAAAGUACUUUCAGUUGUGAGGAAGGGGGUAACGUUAAUAGCGUUAUCUCUUGACGUUAGCAACAGAAGAAGCACCGGCUAACUCCGUGCCAGC